UUUUUUUUUUUUUUUUUUUUUUUGACUCAAUUCAGUGUUUCCAAGAAAUUUGGGGGCGGUCACAUGGCGACUCUAGGUACAAACUCGCCCUCACUCCAUUUAGCAUGUGCCACCCAGAGUCAAACUAGAAUGGCUUUCUCACACAUAAUCAUUUAUCAGUUCUUGGUGUCUGAAAAGUCCACAUUGGAUGCUUUGAAGCAUCUUAACCUGCCCCUAGCAACCUGCCCCUAGCAACCUGCCCCUAGCAACCAUCAAAGGCCCGGUCCACAGCAAAGACAAGCCAUUUUCUCCAGUCUGGAGUAGAGGAAAGGGACGAAAGCUCAAGCACCAACCCUGACACUGGCUGUGUGCCUUUCCCUCCUCCCCAGGCUCCACCUCUGUGCUGACCUCUCAGAAUGGCCAAAAAAAAAAAAAAAAAAAAAAAACUACCUGAAAAAAAAAAAAGGAGAACUUCUUGUAAAAUUUGAAAAACAUACAGGAUGGGUUUUGUUUGUUUGUUUGUUUGUUUUUGUUAUUUAAAAGAACUAUUUCACAUGGGUGGGAUCACACAUGAAGGAAGGGUACAGGUGUCAGUGGCCAGAGCAGUGUUUUGGAUGCCAAGAGACUUGCUGUGCUCAACAGAGCCACGUGGCCCUCUGGAUCCCAGCGAAGAUCAUAGGGUUAGAAUAAGACAUUGAUCUUGGUGGUCACACUGCUUGUCCAGACACCCAGCUAUCUAUCACGAGUCUUAAUUCUCUGCUCUGGGUGCUAAAAUGACUUGCUACAAAUCCUGACCUUUAUUUUAAGGUAUUUAAGAACACGCUUGACGGCAUUUUAAUCUCUAUGUAAACAAAAUCGCCCUUGUGUUCCAGUGCUGUUAUUUUUGGGAUCUUCAUCUGAAGCAAAGGGUACGAGUCCCUCCAGCUCACAGGUUCGGUUUCGCAGUAAUAUGCUGGAAUUAGUGUUUUCUCUGUGGUUGGAUACUUGACAUCUAGGCUGCUUCCAAAUGAAAGAGAAAUGUAAAUAAGGCAGCGGACAUACAGGUCAUCCCACAGUGAACUGUGGGUGUAAGAGGGGUCCUGUCUACAGAAGAUUGGAAGAGCAGAAGGACUUUCUAUAGUAUGGUGUCAUAAUUAGCUUAUGAGAAUGAUCUCUUUAGAAGCUCAGCAAAGAAAAACAAAAACAAAAACCAUAGUGCUGGUGUUAACAGUAAGGUGAAUGAGAUGUCCAAAUCUUUACAAAGUGGAAAACAAGCAGAUUGUUUGCAACUGAUUUGCAAAGAGCCUCUAACCUUUCAAAAUGUUUCCUGUUCAUAGCUGCUGAAUAUUCACACGCAGGAAGUAAAAGUUCUCAUUGUAGCCAUUAUAGGAAGCCGAGUUCACAUUGUAGCCAUUAUAGGAAUCCGAGUCCACUGUCACAGUGGAUGUGACUGGGAUAUGGGGUGUCUGAGGCUUCCUCUCCUCUGUACAGAGCAAGCGCUUGCGGUGUUUGUAAUUUCCAAGUUGAAUUUUCUGCCUAGAGUCCUUGAGUAAUCUUAAGCAAAGUGACUCUAGUCCUGAUCACAGGGGAAGAAUAAGACAUUGAUGUUGGUGGUCACACUGCUUGUCUGGACACCCAACUGUCACUAGUCUGAUUCUCUUCUCUGGGUGCUUAAAUGACUUACUACAAUUAAGGUAUUUAAGAACAGGCUCAACUGCAUUUUAAUCUCUAUGUAAACAAUAUAGCCCAACUGUUGUGUUCAACUGUUGUUGUGUUUGGGAAAAUAUAUGCCUGUAGUAACUUGUUACAUUUAUGAAAAUAAGCCAACCUCAAAAUGAAGUCCCCUUAACAAGAACAAAAAAGAAUACACAUGCUUGCCAAACAUGUGGCAUUGUAUGUUAGUUUUCUGUUGGAAAUGCAUUUGCAUGAAGGUCCCUUAGCAAAAGAAUAGACAUGCAUGUGAAACAUGUGACAUUGUAUGUUAACUUUAUGUCUCUGUGGGAAACGUAUUUGCUGUAAAAUAUGUGUCCAAAGAAAUUGUUAGUAAAGUAGAAGGAUGAUUCAAUUUGUACUAAUAAACAUGUAUAUAAUUAAUAAAAUGGAUGGACUAAACU
rnacentral:lncRNA from 1 species